rnacentral:rRNA from 1 species
CCUACGGGAGGCAGCAGUGAGGAAUAUUGGUCAAUGGGCGUAAGCCUGAACCAGCCAAGUAGCGUGAGGGAAGACUGCCCUAUGGGUUGUAAACCUCUUUUGUGCGGGGAUAAAGUGAGGGACGUGUCCCUUAUUGCAGGUACCGCACGAAUAAGGACCGGCUAAUUCCGUGCCAGCAGCCGCGGUAAUACGGAAGGGCCGGGCGUUAUCCGGAUUUAUUGGGUUUAAAGGGAGCGCAGGCCGUCCUUUAAGCGUGCUGUGAAAUGCCGCGGCUCAACCGUGGCACUGCAGCGCGAACUGGAGGACUUGAGUACGCACGAGGUAGGCGGAAUUCGUGGUGUAGCGGUGAAAUGCUUAGAUAUCACGAAGAACUCCGAUUGCGAAGGCAGCUUACCGGAGCGCAACUGACGCUGAGGCUCGAAAGCGCGGGUAUCGAACAGGAUUAGAUACCCUGGUAGUCCGCGCGGUAAACGAUGGAUGCCCGCCGUUGGGAUUUGGAUUUCAGCGGCCAAGCGAAAGCGUUAAGCAUCCCACCUGGGGAGUACGCCGGCAACGGUGAAACUCAAAGGAAUUGACGGGGGCCCGCACAAGCGGAGGAACAUGUGGUUUAAUUCGAUGAUACGCGAGGAACCUUACCCGGGCUUGAAUUGCAGGAGAACGAUCCAGAGAUGGUGAGGCCCUUCGGGGCUCCUGUGAAGGUGCUGCAUGGUUGUCGUCAGCUCGUGCCGUGAGGUGUCGGCUCAAGUGCCAUAACGAGCGCAACCCCUGUCCAUAGUUGCCAUCAGGUUAUGCUGGGCACUCUGUGGAGACUGCCGCCGUAAGGUGUGAGGAAGGUGGGGAUGACGUCAAAUCAGCA